GAUGAACGCUGGCGGCGUGCCUAAUACAUGCAAGUCGAGCGAACAGACGAGGAGCUUGCUCCUCUGACGUUAGCGGCGGACGGGUGAGUAACACGUGGAUAACCUACCUAUAAGACUGGGAUAACUUCGGGAAACCGGAGCUAAUACCGGAUAAUAUAUUGAACCGCAUGGUUCAAUAGUGAAAGACGGUUUUGCUGUCACUUAUAGAUGGAUCCGCGCCGCAUUAGCUAGUUGGUAAGGUAACGGCUUACCAAGGCAACGAUGCGUAGCCGACCGGAGAGGGGGAUCGGCCACAUGGGAACUGAGACACGGUCCAGACUACUACGGGAGGCAGCAGUAGGGAAUCUUCCGCAAUGGGCGAAAGCCUGACGGAGCAACGCCGCGUGAGUGAUGAAGGUCUUCGGAUCGUAAAACUCUGUUAUUAGGGAAGAACAAAUGUGUAAGUAACUAUGCACGUCUUGACGGUACCUAAUCAGAAAGCCACGGCUAACUACGUG
rnacentral:rRNA from 1 species